UCUCAGCGCGGCAGGCGACCUGAUCUGAUCCUGUCGCGCUGCAUUCGCAAUGGCGUUGGAGCUCCUCGCCAGGGGGCCGGUCCACGCCCCACUCCUACGCGCCGGUCGCUUUGGCGCGUCUCGAGGCUCGCCGGCGAACCGGCCGGUCCGGCUUUUCGUUCUGCCGCUGACCGGACCAUCGGGGCGCGCCUACGAACGGCGAUCUGCCGCCGCCGCCGUCCGGUGCGGGGAGAACCCCGGGCGGGUGCUGAAGACGUGCAAGAAUUGCAAGACUCAGUUCGAUCCCUCCCUCAACCAUCCCACAGCCUGCCGCUUCCACACCGCGCAUUUCGGCGGUGAAACAAAGAGAAAAUUUGAAAGUGUCUACACAGGAGGGACCCUGAACACUCCAGACUCGGGCAAAGUUUUCCAGUACUGGCAUUGUUGUGGCUCUGAAGAUCCAUUUGAUGCUGGUUGCACUGCUGCUCCUCACUGUUCAUAUGAUGACUGAUCAGCAUGGUAAACUUCCAGGUUUUCACAACAACUCUACCUUCAAAGAGAUUCAUGUUUUCAUUUUGACUAGUAAUUCUGGGAUAAGGAUAUUGGUGUCUGUCUCUGCAUCCAGAGAGCAGAAUUAAGAAAUGGAGCCAAUGAAGCUCCCAUGCAAAUGGUGAAAAAUUCAGGCAACAUCUACAGACUUGGAGGGUUCUUGACUUCACAAAGCUGGAGUUUUAGACUAGAAGAUGAUUAUCACCUGAUCAGCAUUAAACAAGCAAUGUUUUGCGCAUUAGGUGUUUGGGGAAGAAAAGUGCAGGAGGAUGAACUUGCAGCCGUAGACACCAUAGAGGAGAAAGAAAGGGUUUGAGGAUUACAGGAAGCAGCAAAAAAAAAAAAGAAAAAUGGCAAAGGAAAAUUCGCCAGGUUAAAAAAGCCCAGAUACCAUAUACUAAAGAUUUAAAAAAAAAUCUCUAUCAGCACAUUAUGUGUGUUAUAGGUGGUUGCAUAUUAUGUGGUAUCAGAUGAAAAUGGAAUGCAACUCUCAGCAUAUCACUUAUCUGUAACUCUGUGAACUGGUCCUUGGCUCAUCCUUGAGCUUUAUGUCGAUCAGCUGAUCCUUGAGUUCAAGCUGCAUGUCUACAAGGGACCACUAAUUGUUAUCAAAUGCAGCUUAGGUCUCCUCGUUGGAUGCAGUAUUUGGUUCUAUUAUUAGCUCCGCAAAUAUCUGCCCACCCCGAGUCGCGAUGCAGAUUGCAUAUAUACCACUGUUGUUUGUAUUUUCAACCACUUGGUUUAUCAAAAUUCUAAUACCAUAGAUCCAAAUGGGUAUCU